rnacentral:lncRNA from 10 species
CUGGACUCCAGACCACAGCGUGUGGGAUGGUGGUACAACCGCCUCCAUGGCUCCAGCUUUUAUGGGGUUUGAAAGAUCAUUUCUGGCCAUCGAGACAGGAUGUCCAUCUUCUGGGCCCCUCCUCUUAACCUCUGCUCCAUUUCCUGACUCCCAGAUCGGUUCUGGGAAACCCCCUUCCCAGGUCUGGCCCUGGGAAACCAAGGGGUGCCUGUAAGGUUGUCAUUUCCCCACCCCGGCCCUCCCUCAGCCCCUCUUGCAUUUGCAGAAUCUGACCUGGCUGAACCAUCACCCCUCCCUCCCUCAGGGGAUUCUGGCUGGUUUAGGGUAUCAGGAGCCAAGGCCACUGGGGCAUGGGUAGGAGUCCUUGAGGAGAGCAAGAGACCACCAGGAGAAACGGAGCUUUAGCGCUCUGGAGACAGCAGGCCCAGCUUGGGACUGUAAAGUCUGCAAGAGCAAGGCUCCAGGUCUGUAUGUGUGAAGUCCCAGCACAGUGUCUGGCCUGUGGAAGACCCUUGAUCAAUGUUUGUAGAGGGAGUGAGGGGACUGCAAGGGUCUUGCUCUAUCAUCAAGACUGGAGUGCAGUAGUGUGAUCAUAGUUCACUGCAGCCUCAAACUCCUGGGCUCAAGCGAUCCUCCCGACUCACAACCUCCUGGAAUUUUUUGAUGGUCAUUGGGCCCAGAAGCUAAUAGAAGAUAUGGUUCUUGCCCUUGGAAAGAAGCUGACUGGUUUGGGGAAGAAGAUUUGCAUGUGUGAAACCACAACAAAGUGUCUAGGAAUGAAGACAAAUUUGUGCUAAGUGGUGUGGAGUUGACCACAAGCCACAAGGGGGUCUAUGUAGGAGGGUACAGGAGAGGGACAGGCCCACCAGGGAGUAUCCCAGAGGAAGUGGGAAUAGAGCUGGAUUCUGAAGGAUUUGGAAGGAGAAGAAAGAAGCAAAGUCUUUUAAGGGUAAAGAAGGACAUGAACAAAGUGGGUGGUGGUGACAAUAUCUCUGCAGAGACUGAGGGAUGGAAAACAGACCGGUUCUUCUUCAGACAAUGGAAAAACUCUCUGCUGAGAAAUACUUGUUGGCAAAAACCUUUCAAAGUCCCCAUUCUUGGAUCUGACUCGGCUUCACCAUUUCUCUAACCACCAGCCAAAUCUAGGCGCUCUUUUCCUCGUUUCCGGAUUCUUUUUUAAAAUUAAAAAUUUAAAUUUAUUAAUU